CUUCACUUCAGGUAGGGACUGAACUCUGCUCUUCCCUGAGAAGCCCAGGAUGUCUCAUCGCGGCAGAUCUUCUGUGUUCUAAUUAGCACGGGACAUCGGCAGCUGGUGGUCACGUUGUGUGAUACCCGAGCCAGAAGCAGGUGGCUGAUGGCCAUCAAGGACAGAGAACUCUGUAAACAGCCUUUUAAAGGCUCCAGCCCUCCAGGAUCAGGCAGGAUGAUCUCACGUUUUCUGCCUCCUCUUUCAGGGAAAGGAGAAUGCUGUCCCUUCAUCGUGAAACAGUUAUUGCAUGAAAUUAGUCUUUGUUAUACAAGUGUAUAUCCCCCUGUAAUGAAACUUGAACCAGGAGCACAGAGUCAAGUCUCUGCUGGUUGGGUGGGCGCCCUGCGCAAGGCUGUUUCUGCGCUCUCCACCAUCUGAGUAGUCACUCCGACAAAACACGUAAAUACUGAUGUCUUCAACCAAUGUCCAACAACUUCCCACUGGGUUCCCGGCUCAGUGUCCGGAGCAGAGCAUCUGUGGGGUGACCCUAAGGAAGGUAAGCGAUGAGGAUCUGGGGGUAGGAGACCAGUCAGGGAGGCCACCAGGGAUUUCGGCAGAGAUAGUGUGAGGAGGGCGUCAGGGUGGGACUGGUUUCCUGCAGGGUCAGCGGGAGCCAAAGUCUGAACCAGAACAGGUCAAGACAUGGCUGUGGAUGGUGUGAAGUGUGUGUGUGGGGGUGUAUAUGGGAAGCAACAGGUGUUGGGGUUCAGAGCACACCCCACAGGCAAGAGCAGUAGCUGGACUCAAGAGGCUUUUGGACAGCCUAUAUGUGUCUAAAAUUGCAUCUGAAUGUGUCUCACACACACGGGCAGCCUGACUCUCAGGGGCCUCGCUCUGCGCUCACAGGUCUCUGGCGCGCAUGCGUGCAUAUUGAUCUCCCAUUCCGGACUUUGCAGUUCCCACAGGCAGGGCUGUGGACUCUGUUCAGGUUGUACAAUAUUGAUUUCACAGCAAAGGGACUGUGAUUUUACGCUCCUUGAUCGAAAUAAAGCGUCAGGUGCCUUACUUAAUACCCACAGCAGAUGCGGGUCAGGAGCGGCUGUGACUGUGACUGGAAAAAGGAUUUGUCUGUCCUCCCUUACCUGGGUUAGUGAAGGUGCUGGUCCCAAACCAUUGAAGGGACAUUGCCUGAUAACACACCUCACAGCUCCUUAGACCAGGCUUACAGAUGGACCUACAGACCGAUAUUACACAGAGCCUGCAUCUGCUCAGGAAAACCACCGGACCCCUCUCUACCUUACACAGCACCGGGAGGGAGGGGGCGUGGCCAGAGCAGGGGUGAGGCCAGGAUGAGGAGGACAAGCUCUGUUUCAGAGACUAGACUUCAUUGGAGGGUACAGUAGAAGUGGCAUUGGGGACUGAAGGGGACAGGUUGAUUUGGGCGCCCUCAGCUCGAAGAGGAAGAAAAGCAGGAAGAAGCAAGGCAAGCUGGAAGAAGGACAGGGUAGGGGCCCAGGGCAGCGAGGCUCGAGGAGGGGGAGGGGUCAUGAGGACAUAUGCUGAGUCUGCAGAAGCUCAGUUGCAGGUGAGAGUUUCACCACAAAGAGUCCGAAUACUUUUCACCUGUAUUUUCAUUAACUUAGUGAUCGCACCCGUGCAUGCGCACUCACACACGCGCACACACACACGCGCGCACACACACACGUGCACAUGCACGAUGUGACAGGAAGUUAGUGGGAGUCAAUUUUCUCCUUCUAGCGUCUGAGUCCCCGGGUUGAGUUUAGUUCAGUCUAGGCAGCAAGCACCCUUAUACCCAACGGGCUACCUUUCAUUGUGGUUUUAACCAAACACACCAACACAUGCCUUUGAACCCAUGGCUGAGAAGAAGGCUCAAGCUUGGAGACUCGCUCUUCUGCCCGUGAGGGUCUGUCCUCUGCCCGUGAGGGUCUGUCCUGUUGUGUGAGCAUAGCCUGUGAACAAAUGCCACGCCCACCGACCAGGACAAGCAAGAGGCAUGCCAGGUCAAGACAGACGGAACAGUCUCUUUGAUGGCAUUCUGGUCCUGCUUUAUGAUAUAUGGCCCACACAUUUUCAUUUAUACAGAUCCAAAAACCAGUCAGCUGCAGCGGCCCGUGGAACUGUCAACUCUCAAACACACUGUCCACCCCUCCACAGCGAGGCAGAACUGUUAGUUCCAUCCCGCCCAUCUCCCUGUGCCCGUGCACCCCCGGGUCCACUGUAUCCAGGCAGCAGCUAGGCGGCAGUCCCCCAAGCCUUUCUCCCUUCCCUUUACUGCUCAGCAAAUCCUGCAGGGAUGGUAGCACCAGGACCCUCUUCUCUUCCACCACCAGCUCAGGCCUCCGGUCUCACUGCUGGUCUUCCACACCAGCCUUCGCUGCAUACCCAACCUCUUCUCAGAAAGUUAGACCCGUUAACGUGACCGGACCAUGUUCUAUCUCUGCUCACAGUCUCAAGGCUCCCAUUAGCCAAGUCCUCCUGGGUCUGAGUGUUUGUUGUCUGAUCCUUGUGAUCUAUCACCUGUCACCUCUCAGGGGUCACCCCCUAACACACACACACACACACACACACACACACACACACACACUAUCCUCUACCACUGAACCAUAGCCACGCAGGUCUCAAGCUCAACUCUCUCUAUCCCUCUCAAAAUGGUGCCCUGCCACCUUCUGCCCCCACAACCCCACAACCCAGACUGCUUUCCAGCUUCUCCCACUUUGUCUGCAAAGCCAUCUGGGCUGCAAGGUUACUUUGGGAAUCCAUCCAGUGCUCCUCUCCUCCUGUUCUGCAUCUUCAUCCACAGCAGCAUCCAUUCAUCUGCAACGGACCCACGAGUGGGUCUGUCACUGUCCUUAAACCCUACAUCAGUGCCAGAACGACAGGGCUCAGAAUGCCCGAGCAGUGCCCCUCACAUGAUUGACUGAAAUUUGUCCCAAAUGAGUAUUGCUGCUUCUCUGUGUGUUGUACGUGUGAAUGUGCACAUGCAUGUGCGGGCACAGCAUGUGGAGGCUGGAGGUCAACACCAAGUGCCUCCCACCAUGGCUUGAUUUUGAGACAGGGUCUCUCACUGGACUGGAGCACCCUGAUUUGGCUAGACUGAUUGCCAGUGAGCCUCAGGGACCCUCCUGUCUCUGCCUUCCCUGAUGGCACAUGCAACUUUUAUGGAGGUGCUGGAAUUCCAAACUCAGGUCCUGCUGUUCAUGCAGCCGUGUCCCCAGACCCUGUUCUGUGGUAUGCAUGAAUGAGAAAAUCACAGGCCAAAGUGUUCUCGGCAGGAGGAGUAGAGAUGGGAUAUGCGGCAGAGCAAGAUUUAGCUUUAUGAAAACACGCAGGGAUAACUACAGAGUGCUACGAUUGUACAGUACCUCUGCAGUUUAAAAUUUCACGAGGGUCAAGGAAGAAGAAAAUGCUGAACGCCUUCCUUCCAGGGUGAUGCAGAAACAAGGGCGGGGAAGCAAGGGAUUAGUAGAAACGAACAGACACGAAAGCCUGUUAUCCCACCGUUGCUGGGAGGUAGGAGACAAAUCAAGAUAUUCAAACACAUGUAAGACAGCCACAGUGUCUUCCCGCUGGAGGAGAGAAUAGAAGAAAUGGCUCAGCGCUCUGAGGAAACAUCUUCUCAGACUUACAAAGGAUGGUAUUUACAUUUUCUCCAAGCCUUUAAUUUUCUCAUUUAUCAUUUGUCAGAGCCCGAGGCCCUUCCUUAGCACAUGGUGUUUGCCAGCAGCUAAUGAUCCCUUUACCAAACAUCACAGUCCAGCCAGGAGCUUGUUAAUGUUGCUAGGGCUGAUGAUUUAAUGCUUCACUGUCACGGGCAGGUCUCUGGACCCUGGAUCACAGGAAUGCUGUGACUCUGGGGCUCUGUGCUUCCUGGAGGCCCCACUGUCACCAGGGAACCAUGGAAACCAAUCCAGUCCCAGAUAUGGAGAAAGCUGAGCACUGAGGUUGGCUUUGGAAGCCAGGCAUGGACUUCUAGAACUCCAUCCAGUGGUCACAGACUGGACGCCAUCUUGCUGCCCCACAGAUCUCCCUGCAGCUGUGAUCUCCUUGUAGUGACAUCAUCCAGGACCUUGCUGAACCUCCCCGGGGUGUCUCUUAUGGCUCUGGUGAGCACAUGAGACCCAGGUUGAUACCAUUCUGGCUUUCCAGCCGAGAAGCAUGACCUUGGGAGACGCCUGAGGUCACAUGGGUGACGGAGGAGAUGGCGGACUCUGACCUGUACAGAUUUCUAGGUUGACGUGAAAACAUCAGAUGCCAGGCAAGCCAAGCUCCAAGUCAAUGCAUUCCAGACUAUCCUCAGGAAGCCUGACAGCCUGAGAAGACUGAGUUCCUUACAAUCCGGCAGAGGGGUCACAAACAGGUCAUUUCCCUUUUCCAUUGUUGGGGACGCUGGAGUCAAGAUGAUAACAUCUGGCCUGCACCUGGUUCACUAGACUGGGCUUCUUGGGAAUGUGCUGGGAUCCCAGGGAUACACAGGGCUUCGAGCUAUGACCUACUCCAGAUGUCAUAGAUGCUCACAGUGACCCCUGACCUCAGGAAGGCAGUGGGCUUUGGCAGAAACUAGAAGCCAGAGCAGGUCAGAAUCCUGCCCCCCUAUGAGGAACAAUGAAAAGUUGUGUGUGAAUGCAGCUGGGGAGAAGUGGGGAUUCGGGAGCUUAAUUACAGGGUCUCUGUGUGACACAGGUCACAGUAAGCAAAAGUCAGGGGUUAACAGUGAGGAAAAUCCAGGGGUUGACCCUUGGAGGUCAGACUGUAGCCUUGCACAGGGCCUUGGAAUAAGUAUCAACAUGCUAAGAACAUUAACCAUGGAGGGCGCAAAGCCCAUUCCUUGGGCAGCCAAGGGCAUCUGUGAGCAUCUUGUGCUGGGUUCCCUGUGCCUGGAGGGGAACUUUAGGAAGAGGACUCUGUAGGAGAAGACCACCAUGAUUUCUGCACUGCUGGUCAUUCAUGAGUGUUUUCUGUACAGACGUUUGGUGUCUCCUACCUGCUGCUGUGUUAGCUUUGCUGUCCUGAGACCUGGUCUGGUGUUCCCGAGGUAAUGGGUGUGGAUAGGGAAGGAGCUGGGGUCUUGGGGGAGCUCUAAGGACACAGGGCUUGUUGGCUCUUGCCCUGAAGCACCGUCUCUAGAGAUACAGAGGCCGGUGGAGCCUGCACUGACGUUUUCUCACGAGUUCUCGGCUAAACCCAAGCCUGUGUCACCGAAAGCUUCUGUUCACGAUGGCCCUACCUUAUGUGUUACCUUGCUGAAAUCACAGCUUUGAUUCUUUCCCUACAUAAACUACAUAAGUAACUAUUAAAAUAUUAUUAAAUUACUAAUAAAAUAAAAAAUAGGCCCCUUGUAUUCAUUGAUAUAUAAUGUUGCCCAGGGAGCCUCAAUACCAACAGUGCAGAAGGGCAGAGGCUACCCCUUUCUCUCUGACACU
rnacentral:sRNA from 1 species